UACGUAGGUGGCAAGCGUUGUCCGGAUUUACUGGGCGUAAAGAGCGCGCAGGCGGUCGUUCAAGUCGCGUGUGAAAGCCCCCGGCUCAACUGGGGAGGGUCACGCGAUACUGAUCGACUCGAAGGCAGGAGAGGGAAGCGGAAUUCCCGGUGUAGUGGUGAAAUGCGCAGAUAUCAGGAGGAACACCCGUAGCGAAGGCGGCACUCUGGGCCGAUACUGACACUGAGGAGCGAAAGCGUGGGGAGCGAACAGG
rnacentral:rRNA from 1 species